rnacentral:rRNA from 1 species
GAUGAACGCUAGCGACAGGCUUAACACAUACAAGUCGAGGGGCAGCGGGGGCGAAAGCUUGCUUUCGCCUGCCGGCGACCGGCGCACGGGUGAGUAACACGUAUGCAACCUGCCCGCAGCAGGGGGAUAAGCCGGAGAAAUCCGGUCUAAUACCGCGUAAAACCCCGAGGGGACAUCCCCAUGGGGUCAAAGGAGCAAUCCGGCUGCGGAUGGGCAUGCGUCGCAUUAGGCAGUUGGCGGGGUAACGGCCCACCAAACCGACGAUGCGUAGGGGUUCUGAGAGGAAGGUCCCCCACACUGGUACUGAGACACGGACCAGACUCCUACGGGAGGCAGCAGUGAGGAAUAUUGGUCAAUGGGCGGAAGCCUGAACCAGCCAAGUCGCGUGAGGGAAGACGGUCCUAUGGAUUGUAAACCUCUUUUGCCGGGGAGCAAGCCGGGUCUGCGGACCCGCGUUGAGAGUACCCGGAGAAAAAGCAUCGGCUAACUCCGUG